rnacentral:rRNA from 1 species
CCUACGGGUGGCAGCAGUGGGGAAUAUUGCGCAAUGGGGGAAACCCUGACGCAGCAACGCCGCGUGCGGGAUGAAGGCUUUCGGUUUGUAAACCGCUUUCAGCAGGGAAGAAAAUGACGGUACCUGCAGAAGAAGCCCCGGCUAACUACGUGCCAGCAGCCGCGGUAAUACGUGGGGGGCAAGCGUUAUCCGGAUUCACUGGGCGAAAAGCGGACGCGGGCGGUUCGCUAGGCGGGACGGAUAAUCUUGGGGCUCAACCUAAAGCCGGGUACCGAACUGGUGGCCUUGAGUGCAGUAGAGGUAAGCGGAAUUCCCGGUGUAGCGGUGGAAUGCGUAGAUAUCGGGAAGAACACCGAUGGCGAAGGCAGCUUACUGGGCCGACACUGACGCUGAGGCGCGAAAGCUAGGGGAGCGAACAGGAUUAGAUACCCGUGUAGUC